rnacentral:rRNA from 1 species
UACAGAGGUCCCAAGCGUUGUUCGGAUUCACUGGGCGUAAAGGGUGCGCAGGUGGUUUGGCAAGUUUGACGUGAAAGCCCCGGGCUUAACCCGGGAAUGGCGUUGAAAACUGCUUGAACUGGAGGGUCGGAGGGGGGACUGGAAUUCUUGGUGUAGCAGUGAAAUGCGUAGAUAUCAAGAGGAACACCAGUGGCGAAGGCGGCUCACUGGACCGUUGUUGACGCUGAGGUGCGAAAGCGUGGGGAGCAAACAGG